rnacentral:tRNA from 1 species
GCAAGAUUAGUAUAGUGGCAGUACACAAGCUUCCCAAGCUUGUGGCACGGGUUCGAUUCCCGUAUCUUGCUCAA